GACAGAGGGUGCAAACGUUGUUCGGAUUUACUGGGCGUAAAGCGUGUGUAGGCGGCUUCGCAAGUUGGAUGUGAAAUCCCACGGCUCAACCGUGGACGUGCAUCCAAAACUGCGUCGCUAGAGUCUCGGAGAGGAAGGUGGAAUGCUUGGUGUAGAGGUGAAAUUCGUAGAUAUCAAGCGGAACACCGGUGGCGAAGGCGGCCUUCUGGACAGUGACUGACGCUGAGACGCGAAAGCGUGGGGAGCAAACAGG
rnacentral:rRNA from 1 species